ensembl:rRNA 5S_rRNA 5S ribosomal RNA
AUUAGCAGCCAUAUCACCCUGCAACUCACAACUGGCAACCCACUGAAGCUCAGCAGGUGUGAGCCUGGUCAGUACCUGGAUGGGAGACCUCCUGGGAAAAACUAAGGUUGCUGCUGGAA